rnacentral:misc_RNA from 1 species
GAUGAAGAACGCAGCGAAAUGCGAUAAGUAGUGUGAAUUGCAGAAUUCAGUGAAUCAUCGAAUCUUUGAACGCACAUUGCGCCCUUUGGUAUUCCAAAGGGCAUGCCUGUUCGAGCGUCAUUUGUACCCUCAAGCUUUGCUUGGUGUUGGGCGUCUUGUCACUAGCUUUGCUGGAGACUCGCCUUAAAGUAAUUGGCAGCCGGCCUACUGGUUUCGGAGCGCAGCACAAGUCGCACUCUCUAUCAGCAAAGGUCUAGCAUCCAUUAAGCCUUUUUUUCAACUUUUGACCUCGGAUCAGGUAGGGAUACCCGCUGAACUUAAGCAUAUCAAUAAGCGGAGGA